rnacentral:lncRNA from 1 species
AAUUUGAAAUCUUAUCCCCAAAACCUCAUUUCUCAACUCUAAACCCUACACCCUAAACUCUAAACCCUAAACCCUAAAUUCUAAACCCUAAACCCUAAACCAUAAACCCUAAACCCUAAACUCUAAACCCUAAACCCUAAACUCUAAACCCUAAACCCUAUACCCUAAACCCUAAAAUCUAAACCCUAAACCAUAAACUCUAAACCCUAAACCCUAAACCCUAAACCCCACC